GUCCUUUUGUAGCGGACAGGUGUGACAACUGUGUUUUCAUGCUCACCUGUGAGAUGUGCCUCCCUCCAACCUGGUCACGGUAUAGGCACGUCAUCCAUGUGAUA